rnacentral:rRNA from 1 species
CCAAUAGCGUAUAUUAAAGUUGCUGCAGUUAAAAAGCUCGUAGUUGAAUUUCGGGGUCAGCAGGUCGGUCGUGCCACUGGUAUGUACUGGUCUUGCUGAUUCCUCCCUCUUGACGAACCGUAAUGCCAUUAAUUUGGUGUUGCGGGAAAUCAGGACUGUUACUUUGAAAAAAUUAGAGUGUUUAAAGCAGGCUUAAGCUUGAAUACAUUAGCAUGGAAUAAUGAAAUAGGACGUUCGAUCCUAUUUUGUUGGUUUCUAGGAUUGACGUAAUGAUUAAUAGGGAUAGUUGGGGGCAUUAGUAUUCAAUUGUCAGAGGUGAAAUUCUUGGAUUUAUUGAAGACUGACUACUGCGAAAGCAUUUGCCAAGGAUGUUUUUAUUAAUCAAGAACGAAAGUUAGGGGAUCGAAGACGGUCAGAUACCGUCGUAGUCUUAACCAUAAACUAUGCCGACUAGGGAUCGGAUGAUGUUAAUUUUUUAAUGACUCAUUCGGCGCCUUACG